rnacentral:tRNA from 1 species
UACAUACUAGCCAAACGGAAAAGGCGCUUGACUUGAAAUCAAGAUUAUGCAGGUUCAAAUCCUGCGUAUGAAAC